rnacentral:lncRNA from 1 species
CUUGUUAUAAAUUUAGAAACACGUCAGAGGAAAUUCCCAGUUGUGAUAAAAAUGCGAGAGUUCUCUGAAUUCCGAUAAAUCUAUUUCUGUCAUAUAAGAACUGAAGUGGAGUUUUACUUAUAUGUCACCGUUAUUAAUCUGAUAUUUGAUAUUGUACUUCCAUAAAAAAAAUAGAGAACCAUUUAGGUUUAAUAUACAUUCUUACUACAGGGUUUGUUUAGGUAAUUAUGUGCAUGCGUAUAGUUUUAUUGACUUCAAGAGGUACUAGGUUAAAUGGUUGCUCUGGAUUCGAGUUGUCUCCCUUCCCGCAGUCACUUCCGUGAAUUUUAAAUCAAAACAACACGUUGAGAAAAAUUAACUCGUUCUGUCGAUAAACGUCGUAUUAUAUUACAAACAAUCGCAAUUUAAACCGAGGAAUGUGUACGGAAAGGAGUCAUGAUCACUGACCCAAAGGAAAUUAAAUAUUUAAAGAGUUAGGAAUGGGGUUCCUCCUAGAAUUAACGUAGGAAAAUAGGUGAUAAUAUACGAAGUGAAAUACUUCUCUCACUCUGAGUCUCAGUGACUGCUGUGGAAAGUAAACUUGGAAUUGAUAGUACAAAAAUAAAACACAAUAGGCCUAAGUAAAAUUGAGAAUGGAAAUGGGGAAUGUGUCAAAGAGACAACAACCCGACCAAAUAAAAAACAACAGCAGAGGGUCACAACAGGUCUUCAAUGUAGCGAGAAAUUCCCGCACCCGGAGGCGUCCUUCAGCUGGCCCCUAAACAAAU